rnacentral:rRNA from 1 species
AUACGGAGGGUCCGAGCGUUAAUCGGAAUUACUGGGCGUAAAGCGUACGUAGGUGGCUUGAUAAGUCGGAUGUGAAAGCCCUGGGCUCAACCUGGGAACUGCAUUCGAUACUGUCUGGCUAGAGUAUAGUAGAGGGAAGUGGAAUUCCGGGUGUAGCGGUGAAAUGCGUAGAUAUCCGGAGGAACACCAGUGGCGAAGGCGGCUUCCUGGACUAAUACUGACACUGAGGUACGAAAGCGUGGGGAGCAAACGGGAUUAGAAACCCCAGUAGUCC